GCCACCUUAGCUCAGUUGGUAGAGCAAUAGUUUUGUAAACUAUGGGUCGUGGGUUCGAAUCCCUCAGGUGGCU
rnacentral:tRNA from 1 species